UGGGGAAUAUUGCACAAUGGGCGCAAGCCUGAUGCAGCGACGCCGCGUGAGGGAUGACGGCCUUCGGGUUGUAAACCUCUUUCAGUACCGACGAAGCGUAAGUGACGGUAGGUACAGAAGAAGCACCGGCCAACUACGUGCCAGCAGCCGCGGUAAUAUGUAGGGCGCGAGCGUUGUCCGGAAUUAUUGGGCGUAAAGGGCUUGUAGGCGGCUUGUUGCGCCUGCUGUGAAAACGCGGGGCUUAACUUCGCGCGUGCAGUGGGUACGGGCAGGCUUGAGUGUGGUAGGGGUGACUGGAAUUCCAGGUGUAGCGGUGGAAUGCUCAGAUAUCUGGAGGAACACCGAUGGCGAAGGCAGGUCACUGGGCCAUUACUGACGCUGAGGAGCGAAAGCAUGGGUAGCGAACAGG
rnacentral:rRNA from 1 species